rnacentral:tRNA from 1 species
UCCACUACUCAGUUGGUAGAGCGCAAGGCUCUUAACCUUAUGGACGUGGAUUCAAAUCCCAUGGUGGAG